GGCGGAGGAGUGCGUGAGAGCGCUAGAGACGGGGUCGGCAGAGACUGGGGUCUAUUUGGGAACCGGGGCCUUCGGGCACACCUGAGGGGGUUCUGGACGUGCGGGGCUAGAAUCCUGGGAGGUUUUAGAGACCAGGACUGAGGGCUUGAAAUUUGGGACCCGGGGGUUCAGAGCCAAGAGACUGGCUAUUGGGGGUUGAGAGCUGACAGUUUGAGGCUGGAGUCCGUAUGGGGCGUGGACCUUUGGGGCUGUGGUCAGUAUGAAGGUUUAGCUGGGGGUGGUGGUGGUGCUGGGAGGUCUGGAUUUGGAGCUGGAGUUCAAGGCUGAGGGUCUGCACACUUAGCUCUGGAUAUUUGGGGUCUGGAUAUUUGGUGGAAGGGGGUCAUUUGGGCCAAUAAAUGGGUCUACACACUUUGGGGCUGGGAGCUCCUGACCUUCCAGGGACUGUGUCCUUCUGGGGACAGGUGGCCAGUAUGCUGCACGCCUUUGCUGUCUGUCAUUCCACCACCGUCCCAGGGCCAUGCUGGGCCACCUCUGCCAUCUCCUCCGUGGCUGGGUCUCUCCUGACUGUGUCUCUGUCUCUUCCAGCAUCUCUGGCUCCACCUCUAACUCCAAGAAUCUGUCUCUGACUCUUUAUCUCUGUCUUUUGGAGCAUCUCUCUCUUCCUCUUUGGGUCCAACUCUCGGACGAUCUCAGAAUCUCUGUGCCUCUCUCUCCCCAGGUCUUUCUCAGUGUCUCUCUGUCUCUGCCUUUCUCUGUCUCUUGCUAUCUCUCUGUCUCUGCCUCUCCCAGCAUCUCUGUCUCUGUCUCCCCCUUGCUGGUUUCCGCUCAGAUUAAGCCGGGGACCUAAUUCCAGGCCCAGGAUCGAAUUUUCUGGCAACAAAGGGAAAUAGCGAAUCGAUCGGUCGCUCCGGAGAUUAAGAGACAAGCGGCGCGCGGAUCUAUCACGGCUAAACGGCCCCCCCGCCCGCUCCCCCUGCCCGGCCGGCCCGCCGAGGCCCAGACGCGCUCCGCAUCGCCAAGCAGCCUCAGGAGCCCGGCUGCCCGGCAGGCCCGGCCGGCCUCGCUGAGCCCAGAGCUGACUGCGUGAGCUAACUGCGCGCCCUGCCAGGGGCCGAAGCCCGCGGGAGGGAUCCCAGCGCCAGCCCUGGCCCCUGGGGAGGGGAGGAGAGGGAAGGAGGUGAAACCAAGGCAGUGAAUCACCCUGAAGAGCCAUGCUGCGCGCACCUGUGGCCGCAGGUAACACCUUUCACUCACACCUGUGUAUCAACACACCCUUCACGUUAGCGUGUCCCCUUCAGUUCCCCACAUCUGGACCUCCAGGUAACGUUAGUCUCCUUAUACCUGUCCCCUGCAGGUAACCUGUUCUCUUCAUCUGUCCCUGUAGGUGUCACCUAUUUCCUGUCACCUGCUUUUACAGGUAACACGUGUCCCUUGCAACCUGCCCCACAGAUGCCUAUGAUCUCUCGGUGACACGUGUCCUCUCUUACCUGCUUCUCCAGACCUUAAUCUCUGCACCCAACACGGGGCUCGAACCCACGACCCUGAGAUCAAGACUUGCAGGCUCUACUGACCGAGGCAGCCAGGAGCCCCAGCCAGCCACUGCUUAUUCAGCCUGUCUCGGUGACUGGCAGUGUUCUCCGUUCUUUCUAACCACAGUCUCGUUUCCUCCUCACGAGGCCCCCCGGGAGGCAGGUCCUUAUUCUUAUCCCCAAUUUACGGAGAAGGAAACUGAGCCCCGAGAAACGGAGUAGUUUCCCUGAGGUCUCAGAAACCGGCAGUUCUUGGAGGCCAUCUGACUUCAGUCAUCCAGGUGUCCUUACCUCCCCCACCUGCCUAGCAGGUGACCUGCUUCCUCCACAGAGGCACCUGUCCGCCCUGUCACUUUGGCAACCCUUGUUUCUCCGUGACCCAGCAGCCCUCCUGCUGCCCAGCCUCGCGUUCUCCCCCCACUCCUGCCAUCAGUCGUGUCCCAUCUCGCUGCUCGUACACCUGUCUCUUGGACACCCACUCCCCGGGGCCGAGCUGGUCACUCACAUCCUCAAUCCCUCCCACCGUCCAAGCUGCCCGGAGCCAGCCCAGCUCCUCCCAACACGCUCCUGUCUCCUCAGACACCCCUUGCCCUGCAGAA